rnacentral:tRNA from 1 species
UCCCUAAUGUCUCAGGAGUAAAGAAUCUGCCUGUAAUGUAGGAGACCUGGGUUCAAUCCCUGGGUCGGGAA